AAGAAGGCCGUUCGGGUUGGUAAGCUACUUUUGGUCCGGAAAGAAAACUUCUGCCCUAAUACGGUGGGAGGAUGACGGUACCGGAAGAAAUAAGCACCGGCUAACUACGUGC
rnacentral:rRNA from 1 species